rnacentral:tRNA from 2 species
UCCUCGUUAGUAUGGUGGUGAGUAUCCCCGCCUGUCACGCGGGAGACCGGGGUUUGAUUCCCCGAUGGGGAG